ensembl:lncRNA
AUGGCGCCCGUUCCCCUUGCUCCGGCGGCGUCUCGCCCGUGGGCUCUCAGUGUCAGGCGGGGCCCGACUCCACCAGCUCUGGGUUCCGGGCGGUGCCUUGCGCAGGAUCUCAGUUCUUCAGAGCGCCCUUCAGCUUUAAGUGGGAUCCGCAGAGCGUCCCCCACCGCCACCCGAGGCCCAGAACCCCACGUCUCAGCCCACCAGAACCCCACGUCUCAGCCCACCAGAACCCCACGUCUCAGCCCACCAGAACCCCACGUCUCAGCCCACCAGAACCCCAUGUCUCAUCCCAUCUGCCUGCCAGGCUGUCCUGUGGGAGCCCCAGUCCCCUCCCCGGGCAGAUGCCAGCGUGGCUGGGCGUCCUCCAGGGUUCACCACGCUGGGACUGCGCUGCCCCUCCAGUCUCUGCUGAGUGUCACCCCUGGGCCCACGGGUCUUGUGCAUGCCCCAGGACCGGGGGCCUGGGCUUCCUGUCUAACAGAAUCGAAGUACUGGGGAGGCAUUUGCCUAGAUCACUGGGGAUCCUGUUUGCUAGGAGCACAGUUAGGUAGGAUGUAUGACUUUUGUUUUAAUUUGUAUUUAUUCAUUUUAAUUUUAUUUGAAAGGGAGAAGCAGAGAGAGGGAGAGGGAGGGCGAGAGGGAGAGGGAGAGGAUACUCGUGUCUCCUGGUCCACUCCCCGGAUGCUGGGUGGACUUGGCGGUGACGUGAGUGGAUGGGCACAGAGGAUGUGACCAUGGCGGGGGACAUCCUGAAUGCCACGUCGUGAGGCUCUGGCUGCCCUGCGUCCUUGUGUCCUGGCCUCUCCCUGUGUGGGCAGCUCUGCCUUGCGGCCUGUAGGGCCUCAGGGGAGGGCCCUGUGACCGACCUGAGGCUUCCCGGGACAUCAUCGAUAGCAGAGGUACAGCCUCGCCGCCUUGUGAUCGGAUGGGAGGCCCUUGGUCGAGGAGCGGCACUGGAGGGAAGCGGCCCAUGGACAUGGAAUGUCCCGAGAAGGCAGCCCUGCCCCUUGGCUCUGGGGCGUCACCCCACUGUGGUGGCCCGUCACUGGGUCCAGCGCCAGUCCAGGUGUGGCUGUGUUGCUGACUGUAGGCAGACUUCCAGGGAUGGGGCUGACCUGCCUAACGCGUCCUAGUCCUCGUCUAAUCAGGCAAAGACAGAGACCGGAGCCUGCCAGGGCCUGGCCUGCACAUUGCAGCCCGCAAGAUCCACUCUCCUGUGGGAUGCCAGCUUCAGGGCUUGCGUGUCAAGUCCCUAAAACAAGCCCGUCACCCUGUCUCGCUGAAGACCUGUGAGACGCCCCGUGUGUGUGCAUGUAUGUGAGUGUGUGUACACAUAUGUAUGUACCUGUAGAGCAGAGGAGGGUACUUCAGCAGUUUGGGGCAAAUGGAACUUAAAUAUAUAUUUAUUUUGGUGCAAAAAUGUUUGAAAUCUUUUUUUUUUUGACAGGCAGAGUGGACAGUGAGAGAGAGAGACAGAGAGAAAGGUCUUCCUUUUGCCGUUGGUUCACCCUCCAAUGGCCGCCGUGGCCGGCGUGCUGUGGCCGGCGCACCGCGCUGAUCCGAUGGCAGGAGCCAGGAGCCAGGUGCUUUUCCUGGUCUCCCAUGGGGUGCAGGGCCCAAGCACCUGGGCCAUCCUCCACUGCACUCCCUGGCCACAGCAGAGAGCUGGCCUGGAAGAGGGGCAACUGGGACAGAAUCCGGUGCCCCAACCGGGACUAGAACCCGGUGUGCC